rnacentral:rRNA from 1 species
GGAAUAUUGGUCAAUGGGCGGAAGCCUGAACCAGCCAUGCCGCGUGGAGGAAGAAGGCCCUACGGGUUGUAAACUUCUUUUGCCGCAGAGUAAUAAGGGCCGUGCGCGGCCUGAUGAGAGUAUGCGGCGAAUAAGCAUCGGCUAACUCCGUGCCAGCAGCCGCGGUAAUACGGAGGAUGCGAGCGUUAUCCGGAUUUAUUGGGUUUAAAGGGUGCGUAGGCGGACCGUUAAGUCAGCGGUGAAAUAUCCCGGCCCAACCGGGGGGCUGCCGUUGAUACUGGCGGACUAGGGUCCAAACGGCGCCGGCGGAAUAUGUAAUGUAGCGGUGAAAUGCAUAGAUAUUACAUAGAACACCGAUCGCGAAGGCAGCUGGCGAGGAUGGCACUGACGCUGAGGCACGAAGGCGUGGGGAUCGAACA